AUCUAGUUGACGUGUUCGAAAUAGGACGAAACGCGCAUCCUGGGU
rnacentral:hammerhead_ribozyme from 1 species